rnacentral:lncRNA from 1 species
AGGAGGAGGAGGAGAGAUUUGAGGGAAGAGGUAGCAGUCCCUGCCAUGGUGAGUUUGUAAGGAGAAACUGAGCAUGCUUAAUUCAUGCACUUGCUAGGGAACAAGCUUAUCCUAAUCUAGCCUGGCUAGGGGAUGUCUGUCUAAUUCUAGGGCUCAGUACUAGGAAGCUGCCUUGGCCACAAAUGUAAGCCAUACUUUUCCAUAUUAUCUUUCACACCAAUAAAGCUGAUAGGCUUAGCUCCAUCUGCUAAACAACUUUGUCUUCUUUUCAAUUGUUUCAGAGCUCAGAUGGAAAAGAAUGGUGUUACUGAGACCCUUCAAGAUUCCCAGUGUAAUUCAAUAAAGAAAAGGCAACACAAAGGGGUUGUAUAGAAUUCGCCACAUUAUGGACCCAUGUCAUAGAGAGAAUCCACGGUGCAUUUGUUAGCUGCAUUUAAAUGACAACACUUUCAGAUCCAAGAUUUAUUUGGGAUAAAAAUUUACCUGGAUGCAAGGCUAUUCAGAAUGAAGAUUAAUGAUAUGGUUUGGCUGUGUCCCCACCCAAACUUCAUCUUGAAUUCCCACGUGUUGUGAGAGGGACCUGGUGGGAGAUAAUUGAACCAUGGGGGCAGGUCUUUCUCAUGCUGUUCUCAUGAGAGUGAAUAAGUCUCAUGAAACCUGAUGGUUUUAUAAGGGGGAAUUUCCCUGCACAAGCUCUCUCUCUGCCUUUUGCCAUCCAUGUAAGACGUGACUUGGUCCUCCUUGCCUUCUACCAUGAUUAUGAGGCCUCCCCAGCCACGUGGAACUGUGAGUCCAUUAAACCUCUUUCUUUUGUAAAUUUCCCAGUCUCAGGUAUGUCUUUAUCAGCAGCAUGAAAACAGACUAACACAAUUACAUUUCCCAGCUAUCCCCUUGCACUGAGAUGAGCCAUGUUACUAAUCCUGACAAAUGGGAUGUGAGUUUAAAUUACAUGUGAAACCUCUGGGUUUCACAAGAGGAAUCUGAACCCCUGCAAAGAAAGAGACCCCAAACAGUCCUGGAUCAUUAUGUGACAGAGAGAAUCACUUCUAUCUUGUGUUUUAAAAUACUGUUAUGUUUAAUCUCUGUCAUGGCAGUAAAACCUAUAUUGGAACAAGUC